AUUUGGCGGACGGGUGAGUAACACGUACAUAACUUACCCUCAAGAGGGGGAUAGCCUUGGGAAACUGAGCGUAAUACCCCAUAGUAUUAUUGAACGGCAUCGUUUGAUAAUUAAAGCUACGGCGCUUGAGGAUAGAUGUGCGUCUGAUUAGCUAGUUGGUAAGGUAACGGCUUACCAAGGCGACGAUCAGUAGGGGGCGUGAGAGCGUGGCCCCCCACACGGGUACUGAGACACGGACCCGACUCCUACGGGAGGCAGCAGUAAGGAAUAUUGGUCAAUGCCCGGAAGGGUGAACCAGCCAUGCCGCGUGAAGGAUGACUGCCCUCUGGGUUGUAAACUUCUUUUGGAUGGGACGAAAAAACGGGAUUUAUCCUGGACUGACGGUACCAUCAGAAUAAGCACCGGCUAACUCCGUGCCAGCAGCCGCGGUAAUAAU
rnacentral:rRNA from 1 species